rnacentral:rRNA from 1 species
GAUGAACGCUAGCGGGAGGCCUAACACAUGCAAGCCGAGCGGUAUGGGUAGCUUGCUACCCAGAGAGCGGCGUACGGGUGCGUAACACGUGUGCAACCUGCCCCUAUCCGGGGGAUAGCCCUCCGAAAGGAGGAUUAAUACCCCAUAAUAUAUCUGGUGGCAUCACUAGAUAUUGAAAACCCCGGUGGAUAGGGAUGGGCACGCGCAAGAUUGGAUAGUUGGCGGGGUAACGGCCCACAAAGUCGAUGAUCUUUAGGGGUCCUGAGAGGGAGAUCCCCCACACUGGUACUGAGACACGGACCAGACGCCUACGGGAGGCAGCAGUGAGGAAUAUUGGACAAUGGGUGGAAGCCUGAUCCAGCCAUCCCGCGUGAGGGACGACGGCCCUAUGGGUUGUAAACCUCUUUUGUACGGGGAUAAACCUAUCUACGUGUAGAUAGCUGAAGGUACCGUACGAAUAAGCACCGGCUAACUCCGUG